AAUUAAGCUCUUUGAAGGGGCAAGAGUUGGAAGCUGCUUUUUCCCCCCUUCUAGUGAUGGCACCUACAUUUUAAAAUAUAUAAGCAUAACGGUAAGCCCUAGACAGCUUUGUACCUUCACCCAUACAGGGUAUCGUUCUCAUUCAACAGGCCUCACUCUCCUGCAAAUCACCUCAGUGCAUAUAGAGGGCAUAAUAUCAUCUCCCCAUCCAAACCCACCGAAACAGGGGUGUCUACAUACAAAAAGCAGAACUCUUGAUUACUGCACUCACCAUCGUAAGCAUUUUUUGACCACUCAGAUGUCUGUUCCCUUUGAACACAAAUGCCAGUUGAAAAUACAAAUAUUUCUGAGAUGCCUAGGUUUGUCGGAUAGAUGGAAAAAAUACAGUAGCAGCCUUUGCUGAGGAUUUGAGAAGGCGUCUCUGGGGAGCUGUAGGCAACAGCAGUGUCCUUAAGGUUUGUCUAUAACCUAGAUGAGGAGCCAACCCACACUUUGCUCUGCAGCCAAGCCUAGAACCUGAAUCUCUUUGGAGUAAGAAAGCCAAGCUGGCUCUGUGGAAGCAACGUUGCAGCAUCUUUGAGGUGCUCUCCCCAUUAUGAACUGCCCUUAACUGUAUGCAGAUUUAUCAGCUCUUGUGUAGGAUACUGAAGUGCCUUCUUCUGACACGAGUAAGACACCAGUGUCUUACAGGCAUCCCUGUGUCUGGAUUUUACCACAGAAUGAACUUUGGGCAGUUAGAUCAUUACUACAUGAUGAAGUGCAGUGUGAACUCUUCUUCAGUUGUGUAUGGCUGAACAACACACCGCAGUCACACCAUCGGUACCUAAAACUAGGAGAAGCAAAAAGGUACAUUAUCCUUAUAAAGGGAGCCCUUCAGUAAAUAACCUAACAUGCCUGCUCCUGUUUGACCCAGACGUGAGGAAGGAAUCAACCCAUCAAAUCAAUCAACCCAUCCAAACUAGCUGCUUCUAUUCCUGUGGUUUUUUUUUUCUUCGUAGACCAUAGCAGAAUUUGUGGAGCUUGCAGAACUGAUCUCUCCUUUCUGAAUGUGCUGGCAAGAGUGGACACAUCACUAUGUAUCUAUAAUGCCAGAAUGAAGGUUGUCUUUUAAACUUUUUUUUUUUUGAAAAGGAAAUAAUUAAAAUCUUCCCUUGCUUUUAAAAUGUCCUUAAUGAAGAAAAAAACAACCAACCUCCCUUUUCACUUGUCUAAGCUGGGUGGAGGUUCAGCUGCCUGCUUGCUGCAUUGCCCAGAAGUGCAAGGGAGGCAAGGCUCCCAGGGGCAGCUGGGGAGCCCAAGCUGUGACCCCCCCCCCCCCCCCCGGUGCGCAGCCUGGGGAAUUUCAAAAAACAGCAGCAGCCAAUGUGAACAGCAGUGCUCUGCCACGGCAUGGGCACUGCCCAGCAUCUGCUGGUAUUCUAGGGAAUGUAUUUCAUAAAUUAAACCAAUGCAGAUUAACAGUGUUAGACUCACAAAUUCAAAUUCAAAACAAAUUCAGUCACAAUUUGUCUCUACAGGGUUAAACAGCACUGUCUGCCCCUUAGGUUUGCCAUUCUGCUGUAACAGAUACUGAUUUUAACAGUUUUCAGAUCUCUUUCAUCACCUGAGUUACUUCAGCUCGGGCUUCACAUUUUCUGAAGUGGUCUCAGACUUACAGCAUUUUGGGGAUGUGACUUUUGGCAUUGUCUCAUUCAUCCUCUCUGUGCCACCCCACAGUAACCUGUUCUCUUUUCAUGAUGCUGCAUUAAAUACCAUUCUCCCUUUAUCUCGGCUAUUACUUAACCAGUCAAUUAAUUUACCUCUUGUGUUUCCCCACUUUCUCUAUAGAAAAGGCAUUGAGAAGAUUUGGGUAUAGCCAUAAUGUGGCACGUUGACUAAAUCAUCAAAGUCUUUGUACUCGCCUGAUACUUCCAGGGUUGUCUUCUACAUGCUGGCUUUUUCAGGUUUAACAUUGCUUAUGGUGACUCUGAUUAUAUUGCCUCACUUGAUUUCAAUACAUUCUCUCAAUUCCUGUUUAAAAAAAAGGUAUAUAAUUUAAAUGCACUUUUGUCUUGGAAGGGAACACUCAAAAUUUCUCAUCCCUUUUGCAAGCACACUGAUGUGGAGAUACACCUGUUGGUUCCUCCAUGGAAGACGGAGCCAAUAUGAAGCAUGUUGCCUGCAGCUGUCUGUACAAAGGCUCCCUGUGCCAUGUGCUGUAUGGGAAUGAGCUCACUAGUUGAAUAGAGCUACUGAACCAGUUACGGAUGCAGUCUGACAGUCACAGAACAAACGUGACUCAUUUAAGAACAUUCCUUACCUUCCCUUUUAAUGAGUGGUUUCACCAUAGUCAGUAAAGUAGAACUGAAAGGAGAACAAAGCGUUCUUCAGCCAGCUCCACACCGUGUUCUCCUACGCCACCUGCCCUGCUGCACGAGUGUGUUUGACACGUAAACAGAAGCAACCGUCCCUCCACAAUGACAAUAUCCCUCUGAUGUCCCAGACCUGGCAACAAAAUCGCCUCUAGCAACAGAAACUAACGUGCUACUGCUAGCAAUACUAACACGGUACUAACAGAUGAGAAGAUUGAUGGCAGGGUUUUACAAACUACAAGAAAAGCUUUAAAACUACAAAAC